CCUACGGGAGGCAGCAGUGGGGAAUAUUGGGCAAUGGGCGCAAGCCUGACCCAGCAACGCCGCGUGAAGGAAGAAGGCUUUCGGGUUGUAAACUUCUUUUGACAGGGAAGAGUAGAAGACGGUACCUGUCGAAUAAGCCACGGCUAACUACGUGCCAGGAGCCGCGGUACUACGUAGGUGGCAAGCGUUGUCCGGAUUUACGGGGUGUAAAGGGCGUGUAGCCGGGUUGACAAGUCAGAUGUGAAAUCCUGGGGCUUAACCGCAGAACUGCAUUUGAAACUGUUUAUCUUGAGUACUGGAGAGGCAGGCGGAAUUCCUAGUGUAGCGGUGAAAUGCGUAGAGAUUAGGAGGAACACCAGUGGCGAAGGCGGUCUGCUGGACAGCAACUGACGGUGAGGCGCGAAAGCGUGGGGAGCAAACAGGAUUAGAUACCCUGGUAGUC
rnacentral:rRNA from 1 species